AUGUUACUAGUAUAAAUUUCGUAUUAUGUUUUCCAAAAAAAUGAUCUAGAUUUAGGUGACAUA
rnacentral:tRNA from 1 species